CGACGUGAGGAACCUGCCUUGAAGAGGGGGACAACAGUUGGAAACGAACUGCUAAUACCGCAUGACGCAUAGAGGUCGCAUGAUCUUUAUGCCAAAGAUUUAUCGCUUCAAGAUGGCCUCGCGUCUGAUUAGCUAGUUGGCGGGGUAACGGCCCACCAAGGCGACGAUCAGUAGCCGGACUGAGAGGUUGAACGGCCACAUUGGGACUGAGAUACGGCCCAG
rnacentral:rRNA from 1 species